UCCCACCACCGGCUCUGGGUCUGGGCACCUCUGACCCCACAGUGGGCGGAGUCAGCACCUCCGGACCAGCACCCUUUCCCACCCUGUCGGGGGCCCGGGGCUGCCCCUCGCCGAGCUUCCGGGCCCGGCGUCACGUUUCUUGUGAGCCCGGCUCGGUCCGGCUCGGUCCGGCUCGGUCCCCUCCCAGCCCGGCGUCCGGGGCCUGUAGGCUCCACCUCCGAGGUGCUGGAGGCGGUGGGUCACGUUUUCAGCUUCCGGGCUGGAGCCCCCGGCCCCGCCGCCCCCCAGCCCGGCCUCGAGCGGGCCCCGCCCACCCGGAGCUGGCACCGCGCCGGCUGCCGGCGGAUGUCGGGUGAGAAGCAAACAGAUAAGGCCGCCCGGGCGGGAGGCCGGAACGCCGCACGCGGGGCCGGGGGUUAUCGGGCGGCUGUGCCUUCCAGGCGACUCUGUCGGGUGUAACUGACACAUGAGAACCCGCAGACACAGGCGGACCCGGGAGACACUGCGGCUUGAGCUCCGCAUCCUUGCAGUAGAGCAAAUAUGACAACAAAGCGAAUCGUGUGGUUUUUUGUUUCCCAGCGCGUAUGAAAGUUAUGUUCACCCCCUACUGUUGUGUGCAGUAGCAUUAUCUUUUUAAAAUGUAUAUACCUUAAUUUAAAAAUGCCUUGUUGCUAAAAAAUGCUACGCAGCAUCGGAGCUCUUAGCAAAGACGACUCUAGCAAAGAUGCCAGCACAACAAAUAUAAUAGUAACGACAGUUUGAAAUACUGUGAGAAUGACUAGAAUGUGACACAGAGACACGAAGUGAACAGAUGCUGGUGGAAGAAUGGUGCCGUGACAGGCCUGCUCCACGCAGGGCGGCCACAGACCUUCAGUUUGUAAAAACUGCAAUGUUUGCGAAGCCCAAUGAAACAAGUCUGUCUGGACUCGAGUUCCGUUUCGUGAGCCGCAGCCCAGGCACGCACCUGGGCAGCCGCCGCCGCCAUCAGCACAGCGAUCACCUCCUCCGUCCCCCAAGGGGCCUGGGCCCCUUUGAGAAUCUGCCCGUCCACCAGCCACGGCAGCCGCGGAUCUGCUUGUGGUCACUGCAGGUUCAUUUGCAUUUUCUUGAAUUUCAUAUAAAUGGAAUCAUGCAAUGUGUACUUUUUUUGGUCUGGCUUCUUUCACUCAGGUUUUUGUGUGAAAUUCUUUUGAGAUCCAUCCACGUUGUGGUUUGAUUCAAUGUUUUGUUCCGUUUCACUGCUGGUACAAGUGGGCUGCAGUCUGCUCCUCGGUUCACCCACUGGUGGUCCUGGGAUGUCCCCAGUUUGGGGCUUUGACAAACAGAGCUGCUGGGCAGGUGUGCACAGCCUCAUGUGGCACAAGCCUUUGUUCCUCCUGGGCAAACACCCACAGUGGCAUGGCCGGAUCGUACAGCUGGCGUCUGAGCGACUUUUUAAGCCAGCCGUCCCCCAGCGUGGUGCUGUCUUGUGCGUCCCCACCAGCCACAGACGAGACUUCUGGUUUCCCCACAUCCUCACCGGCACUGGGCACUGUCCGUCUUCAGACUGUCGCCUGCGGGUCAUGGUGUCUUGCAUACCUGUCUCGCCGCCCGCAUGUCUGCUUUGGUCAAGUGUCCUUCAAAUCUUUGCACAUUAAAAAACUGGAUUAUCUGC